UAGUUGGUGAGGUAACGGCUCACCAAGGCAACGAUGCAUAGCCGACCUGAGAGGGUGAUCGGCCACAUUGGGACUGAGACACGGCCCAAACUCCUACGGGAGGCAGCAGUAGGGAAUCUUCGGCAAUGGACGGAAGUCUGACCGAGCAACGCCGCGUGAGUGAAGAAGGUUUUCGGAUCGUAAAACUCUGUUGUUAGAGAAGAACAAGGAUGAGAGUAGAAUGUUCAUCCCUUGGCGGUAUCUAACCAGAAAGCCACGGCUAACUACGUGCCAGCAGCCGCGGUAAUACGUAGGUGGCAAGCGUUGUCCGGAUUUAUUGGGCGUAAAGCGAGCGCAGGCGGUUUCUUAAGUCUGAUGUGAAAGCCCCCGGCUCAACCGGGGAGGGUCAUUGGAAACUGGGAAACUUGAGUGCAGAAGAGGAGAGUGGAAUUCCAUGUGUAGCGGUGAAAUGCGUAGAUAUAUGGAGGAACACCAGUGGCGAAGGCG
rnacentral:rRNA from 1 species